rnacentral:lncRNA from 1 species
ACAAACUGUACUGAAUCACGGUUACACCGAGCACUGCCCGACCCCCGCGUCCACCUCAUCGUCAUCCUCUGCGGAGCGGAAGUGCCUGCCUCUCUCUCUCUGGUCUCUGCUGCUCUCUGAUAGAGCGAGGCCGAAGCAGGGAUUAGGAGGAUAAAAUAGCUUGGAGCUUUCGUGAGUGGGAAUGCGAGUCAGACGACACCGUUGAUAUUGAUCGCUUCCUUUCCCUCGGUUAAUUUAAUUUAAUUAAUUAAUUAAUUAAUUAACAUAUAUUUAUCUCCACCGAUUCCCUUCCCAUGGCUUCGUCGCUUCGCGCCUUCGUCAUCACUUGCAAUCAGCUCCCGCUCUCACGAGGUCCCAGGGGAAGGCCAUCUCCUCUCCUUCCGGCCAUCGUUCCUCCUCCCGCUCCGCCGCGGAAGAGGGCGAGGGUCCCACGCUCUGGAGUCCGCGCCGCGGCCUCUCCGCACCAUUGUCCCAAUGCUCGGUCGCAGGUGAGCCGGAUCUCCCUUCUCUUUCCGAGGGUAAGAAGUUUUUGAGUAGACGCUUUUACCUGCUGCUUAUAACGAUAUGCCGCAUUUGUGUAUAUAUGAUGUUCGGAGUUAUUUUGGUAGAAUCAGGAGCAAAGAUCCGAGCAAUUUAGUAUACUACGGGAAUGAAUUAACUGAACUGAAAGUCGAAAAUCGGGGCAAACUUAAUUCCAUGGUCAAAUUCAGUCAGUCAGUUUAGCCCAAAAUUUAUCUAGUUCUCAACGUGUUUGACUCGAUAACCUGAUUUGUUUUGUUUUGUUUUUUCGUUUUGAAUGCCCCGUUGAAAGGAUUUGUUAAUGUCGUGACAAAUAUGAAAAUUCAUGAUUCCACUAACAUGCAUGCAUUCUUAGCAGAAGGAAUGAAAAUCCCACACUAGUGUGUUAUUUUUCUUUUUCCUUGAUCAAACGACAGAAUUUUUACCUUUAUAUUAAUAGGAGCUUUUGAAUCUACUGCACCACGGUCUGAGGAGGAGAUUUGACGGUGCAGUUGCUGCCAUUCUUA